AUGAAUCUUAUAACAGUGAUUUGAUAAAGUUGAAUGUACUAAGCAUUCCAACACGAAUCUUAAAACAGUGAUUUGACAAAGUUGAAUGUACUAAGCAUUCCAAUUCUUGGCAACUCUUAUGAUAAUUUUUUAAUUUAAAAGUUCAAUUGGGUAUAUGCAGGUCAUUAGUGUUUUUUUUUUUUUAAAAUAAGGGACAAAAUUUAGAUGAAAUAAUAUUGUAAAUAAUGUGCACGUACCAGUGUUUCAAAAUGCACCCCAAAAGCCAAAAACAACUCACUCUUGAAAGAAUAAAAAGAAACGGAGUCAUCUUCUCCGGCUGGUUGACCCAGUCAUCUUCCCCAAUUUCUUUAAACUCUCUUCUUCCCAGCAAUCAUGAAAAUCGAAAUAGGAAAAAUUAUGGACUGAAUGCCCUUCCCACCUGCUGCAUACAUGCAAGGCAAGUCGACUACUCUGCUAAGCAAACAAUGUUGAAGACAUCUGAAACAGAUAGAGAAACUAAUUAAAUUUUCUACAUAAUAUUGAAGGCAAAAGUGCUGGGUCCGAGCAACAUAGCAUGUAUGUCAAAGCCCUAAUGAAAUCAUUAAGAUUCAAAUUAUGUAACUACUCAACGUCCACUUGAUGCCCUGCCAAUAUAACAUUUAUUCAGCAAAAAAAAAAUAAAAAUCAUUGAGCUUCAAAUUAGUCAAGAUCUAAGUUGCUCGGACUCUCCAACAAUGUUGCCGCACUCAUAUCGGAUCCUCUGAAAAUGCACUGCUUUUGAAGGAUCCGAAACGCAAUUGACGACAUUUUUGAGGAGUCCGAUUAACAUAGGUCAAGGUCAAGAUUGUAAAAUUUGUACUACUUGUUACUUGUUUUUUUUCUUACUUGGUAGAAAUAUUUCUCGACCCAUUGAGUUCUUCUAACACUCAAACUCAAUUUUUCAGAUCUGAUUUGCCAAUAAUCUAGACUGUCCGUUCAGCUUGUCCUAGUUCCAUCUGUAAUCUUCCAUUUACAAAAUUCUCUUUCAUGUCUCUUGAAUCUUUAAUCUACUCUCUUUUUUAUAUUUUCUGGUAUGCUUUGUGGAUUUGUUGUUAAAUUUCCUAUUAUUGUCACUCGUGUGUACAUAUUAGGGAUACAGGUUCGGAGUAGUUGGUUGGAAUAGCUAGGAAUUUAACUUAACUUGCAUCAGUUUAGGUUAACCCAAUUAUGAACCACUGCAGUAGUCUCCAUUACAGUAGUUCAGGUAUUAUUUUCAACUUUCAAAUGUUUACAAAGUUUGGCCUCAUCUUCCUUUAAUCUCCCUUUUUUUUAUAUUAAAAUUGAUUCUGUUGUUGGUUUCAACUUGAAAAUUUGCUUUCUGGAGCCAAUUCACUUGCUCUCCGUAUGGAGUUGUACAAUUUAUUUCAAUUACUCUUGAAUAUUGUUGCUAUCUGACAAUCCAGAAUAGUAUCCAGCCAAACGAUGUAGCAUAAUAGAGGGGGUAAACAAAUAGAUGCAUAAAUGCUCUUAUUAGGAUGGUUGGCUACUGAUAACUAAUUGCAAUAUUGAGAACAUUUUGUAUGAAAUUAGUUUAAGAAUAAUUUGUAUAUGGAAACUAGGUUGUCUUUCAACUUGUUUUUAUAUGCAACCUUUUUGUUACUUACCUAAAUUAUCAGGUAUUUCUGCGACUUCAUUUAUUUAGUAGUUAUUUUUGGUGACAUAACUUUAGUCUAUUGAUGCAAAAUAACUCUGGACCAAAUGUUCAAGAUAUACCCAGAUUUAUCGGAUCUAACCAACAUUCUCCCGUUGAUGCUACUAGUUCACAGGUUGUAAGAAGCUAAAAUCUUUCAUAUUUUUCUGGAUCAACUCACCUUUCAAUUCUUAAAAAGGAGAAUGUGGGUGAUGCAAUUGACAAUGGUGGAAGAAAGCCAAUUUGACGGCGAAGAAUUUUGGACAAUUAUAAUGCCUAUUAUUCAUGAUAUUAAAUCGAUACAUUCAGUUUAGUUUGUAAAGUUUAUUGCUAGUGGGAAUUUUGAUACGUAUGUUUUAUUAGUAUAUGUAGUAUAUGACCAAGUCAAAGUCCAUUGCAAGUAUAUAUGAAUUUGAAUUAUUUUUUGGGAUUUAUUAGCUAAUUUAAUCCUUGAUAUCAUCUAAAUGUAUAGUUUUAGAAGUGUGGCCAAAUGGAUUGUACAUCUGGCAUGUA